UACGGGAGGCAGCAGUGGGGAAUAUUGCACAAUGGGGGAAACCCUGAUGCAGCGACGCCGCGUGCGGGAAGAAGGCCUUCGGGUUGUAAACCGCUUUCAAUUGGGAAGAAGAGAUGAGUGCUAAUAUCACUCUGAUUUGACGGUACCUUUAGAAGAAGCACCGGCUAAUUUCGUGCCAGCAGCCGCGGUAAUACGAAAGGUGCAAGCGUUGUUCGGAUUUACUGGGCGUAAAGAGAUCGUAGGUGGUUUGUUAAGUCGGAUGUGAAAUCCCGGGGCUCAACCUCGGAACUGCAUUCGAUACUGGCAGACUAGAGUUUGGGAGGGGUAAGCGGAAUUCCGUGUGUAGCAGUGAAAUGCGUAGAUAUACGGAGGAACACCUGAGGCGAAGGCGGCUUACUGGACCAAUACUGACACUGAGGAUCGAAAGCGUGGGUAGCAAACAGGAUUAGAUACCCUGGUAGUCCACGCCCUAAACGAUGUCUACUAGCCGUAGCGGGUAUCGACCCCUGCUGUGGCGAAGCUAACGCGAUAAGUAGACCGCCUGGGGAGUACGGUCGCAAGAUUAAAACUCAAAGGAAUUGACGGA
rnacentral:rRNA from 1 species